GAUGAACGCUGGCGGCGUGCCUAAUACAUGCAAGUCGAGCGAACGGACGAGAAGCUUGCUUCUCUGAUGUUAGCGGCGGACGGGUGAGUAACACGUGGAUAACCUACCUAUAAGACUGGGAUAACUUCGGGAAACCGGAGCUAAUACCGGAUAAUAUUAUGAACCGCAUGGUUCAAAAGUGAAAGACGGUCUUGCUGUCACUUAUAGAUGGAUCCGCGCUGCAUUAGCUAGUUGGUAAGGUAACGGCUUACCAAGGCAACGAUGCAUAGCCGACCUGAGAGGGUGAUCGGCCACACUGGAACUGAGACACGGUCCAGACUCCUACGGGAGGCAGCAGUAGGGAAUCUUCCGCAAUGGGCGAAAGCCUGACGGAGCAACGCCGCGUGAGUGAUGAAGGUCUUCUGAUCGUAAAACUCUGUUAUUAGGGAAGAACAUAUGUGUAAGUAACUGUGCACAUCUUGACGGUACCUAAUCAGAAAGCCACGGCUAACUACGUG
rnacentral:rRNA from 1 species